rnacentral:rRNA from 1 species
CUGUGGCUAAGCGGAGAAUAAGGCGCAACCCUAUCAGCUUGUUGGUAGUGUAAAGGACUACCAAGGCUAUGACGGGUAACGGGAAAUCAGGGUUUGAUUCCGGAGAGGGAGCCUGAGAGAUGGCUCCCACGUCCAAGGACGGCAGCAGGCGCGAAACUUGUCCACUCCUUACGGGGGAGACAGUCAUGAGACGUGAGUAUAAGACCUGAGUGUAAAGACCUUAGGGUGAAGCAAUUGGAGGGCAAGCUUUGGUGCCAGCAGCCGCGGUAACUCCAACUCCAAGAGUGUCUAUGGUGGAUGCUGCAGUUAAAGGGUCCGUAGUCGUGAAUGCAAUUAAAUGUCGUUGUUCAAUAGCGAUGAGUUUGCUAAUGUUUGCGGAACGGAUAGGGAGUGUAG